CCUCAGUGUACAACCGUGGAGUCCAGCGUCNNNNNCUCCAGCCUGGGCGACAAGAGCAAAACUCCGUCUCAAAAAAAAAAAAAAAAAAAAAAAGAUUAACCUGGCCAGGUGUGGUGGCUCAUGCCUGUAUUAGCCGGGCGUGGUGGCACAUGCCUGUAAUCCCAGCUACUUGGGAGGCUGAGGCAGGAGAAUCCCUUGAACCUGGGAGGCUGAGGUUGCGGUGAGCUGAGAUCACGCCAUUGCACUCCAGCCUGGGCAACAAGAGCAAAACUCCAUCUCAAAAAACAAACAAACAAAAAAAUUAACCUAAAA
rnacentral:lncRNA from 1 species